ensembl:lncRNA
GGUCAUCAUGGACAUGGUCAUCAUGGUAUGGUCAUGGUCAUUGCCAUUCUUGUGGUCAUCAUUGUCAUUAUCAUCGUCAUGGUCAUUGUGGUCAUCAUGAUUGUCAUCCUCAUCAUGGUAUGGUCACGGUCAUUGUUGUCAUCAUCAUCAUCGUCAUGGUCAUUGUUGUCAUUGUCACGUUGGUCAUCUUCAUCAUCAUUGUCAUUGUCAUCAUAUCACUGUCAUCACCAUCAUCAUGGUCAUGGUCAUCAUUGCCAUUAUCGUCAUCAUUGUGAUGGUCAUCAACGUCAUCGUUGUCAUUGUCAUCUUCAUCAUCGUUGUCAUGGUCAUUGUCAUUAUCGUCAUGAUGGUCAUCUUCAUCAUCAUCGUCGUCAUCAUAUCACUGUCAUCAUCAUCAUCACCAUCAUGGUCGUUGUCAUCUUCUUCAUCAUUGUCAUUGUCAUUGUCAUGGUCAUGGUCAUCAUUGUCAUUGUCAUGGUUGUAGUCAUGGCCAUCAUCAUCAUCGUCAUCUUCAUCAUCAUCGUCAUUGUCAUUGUCAUCAUCAAGGGGGGAAAAGUCGGGACCCGGGGGGGGUCUUGUGUCACCUGGGGGUGGCCUUGGGGACAAUGGGGGGGGGGUGGGGACACUUGGGGACAUUUUGGGACACUUUGGGACCCUUGGGGACAUUUUGGGGGACAGUGGGGGUGGCACUGGGAGUGGGAUUUGGGGGUGGGAUUGAAGGAAUUGGGGAAUUUGGGAUUCGGGAUUUUGGGAUUUGAGGAUUCGGGAAUUUGGGAAUUUUUGGAAUUCAGGGAUUUGAGAAUUUGGGGAUUCAGAAAUUUGGGAAUCUGGGAAUUUGGGAAUUUGGGAAUCUGGGAGUUCGGGGAUUUGGGGAUUGGGGAAUUGGGGGAUUCAGGGUUUGGGGUGGAAUUCAGGGAUCCAGGAAUUCGGGAAUUUUGGAAUUUGGGGAUCCAGGAAUUUGGGAAUUCGGGGCGGGGGGUCAGAGAGCCAGGAAUUCAGGGAUUUAUGAUUUUGGGAAUUCAGAGAUUUAGGAAUUUGGGAAUCCAGGGAAUGGGACGGAAUUCAGGGAUUCAGGAAUUUGGGAAUUCAGGGAUUCAGAAAUUUAGGGAUUUGGGGGUGCAGGAAUGCAGAAAUUCAGGGAUUCGGGGAUUCAGGGAUUUGGGGAUUAGGGAAUUCAGGGACUCAGAAAUUUGGGAAUUUGGGGAUUCAGGAAUUUGGGGAUCCAGGAAUUCCAGGAGUGCUGGGAUUUCAGGACAGUGACGAAAAUCCCGGGAUUUUGUGGACUCCGGAAUUCAGGGAUUCAGGAAUGCAGAAAUUCAGGAAUUUGGGGAUUCAGGAAUUUUGGAGUUCAGGGAUUCAGAAAUUCAGGAAUUUGGGGAUCCAGAGAUUCAGGAAUUUGGGGAUCCAGGGAUUCCAGGAGUUCUGGGAUUUCGGGAUGGCAACGAAAAUCCCGGGAUUUUGCGGACUCAGGAACCCAGGAAUUGCGACAAAAACCCCAAAACCCCAGAAAAUCAAACACCCAACCCCCGAAAAUCCCCAAACUCGCCUUUCCCA